rnacentral:rRNA from 1 species
UACGGGGGGGGCAAGCGUUGUUCGGAAUUACUGGGCGUAAAGGGCUCGUAGGCGGCCAACUAAGUCAUACGUGAAAUCCCUCGGCUUAACCGGGGAACUGCGUCUGAUACUGGAUGGCUUGAGUGUGGGAGAGGGAUGCGGAAUUCCAGGUGUAGCGGUGAAAUGUGUAGAUAUCUGGAGGAACACCGGUGGCGAAGGCGGCAUCCUGGACCAUUACUGACGCUGAGUGGGCGAAAGCCAGGGGAGCAAAUGGG